rnacentral:rRNA from 1 species
UUUAAAGAGAGUUUGAUCCUGGCUCAGGACGAACGCUGGCGGCGUGCCUAAUACAUGCAAGUCGAACGAACGGAGGAAGAGCUUGCUCUUCCAAAGUUAGUGGCGGACGGGUGAGUAACACGUGGGCAACCUGCCUGUAAGUUGGGGAUAACUCCGGGAAACCGGGGCUAAUACCGAAUGAUAAAGUGUGGCGCAUGCCAUGCUUUUGAAAGAUGGUUUCGGCUAUCGCUUACAGAUGGGCCCGCGGUGCAUUAGCUAGUUGGUAGGGUAAUGGCCUACCAAGGCAACGAUGCAUAGCCGACCUGAGAGGGUGAUCGGCCACACUGGG